UCUCUCUCUGGGCAAACACACAAGAGGGAUGAUAGGAAACAGUUUCUACAGCAGAUCUCUCUCUGGGCUGCGAGAAAUGGACAUGACUUCAUCCCUCCCCCCAACCCAGCCCACCCCACCAGACCCUCCUGGAAUAUCUGCUGGGCUGCUCAAGGUGCCUCCACAACUCCAAGUAUAUAGCACAAUCCGAUUUGAGAUCUGCCGGAAAGAAGAAUGAGGAACAUGAAGAAGUCUUCAGUCCCCCAGUGGAUUGGAAGAAGGAAGAUGUGCAAUGUCCAACAUGAUGUUCUGAUUGUCUAGUGGGUGCAUGGAGGUGUCAGAAGAGGCUGGUGGAAAAUGCAAUGAGGAACUGACAAGGUUCUCUUCAUUUUUUUUCCCCUCACUGGGUAAAUGAGUCUGCACUGAAAAAAAAUUGGUCUUUCUGGAGACUUUUAGUAUCACUCAGGAUUUCUGUCAUUUCCUCUAAAUGCAAUUUUUGCUGUAAAUUGAGCUUCCCACUUCAAUAUAAGAAGUAGCAUAGAUUGGGAAGGAUAGACAUGGCUUAUAGUUAGCACAGGGAGACAAAAAUUGUGGGAGUCUCUCUCUUUGUGUAAACACACAAAAGAUAGGUUAUUUAUAGCCUUCCCUGUUAUAUAUAUCACACAUGUGAGAUAGAGACAUGAGUAGGGGGCUGAAUGGAUGGAUAAAGAUUCUCAGAUGCAACAGCAAUGGAUGCCAAUCUGAGAACCUGGGUGGAUAGAGGGAUAGGCCCUGAUCUGACAUUGCCCUGCACCAUGUCUCACCAUUUACACGAGUGCAAAGUGUUUGUAAAACUGACUUCCAUUUACACUAAGGCCAUGCGGUGCUCAGACACUGUGGUAGGGUGACCAGAUGUCCCAAUUUUAUAGGGACAGUCCCGAUUUUGGGGGCUUUUUCUUAUAUAGGUACCUAUUUCCCUCCACCCCUGUUCCGAUUUUUCACACUUGCUGUCUGGUCAUCCUACACUGUGGUGAUGAGCAUGGUAUGAUCAGUCAUAAAUUCAUAGAUUCCAAGGCCAGAAGGGACCAUUGUGAUCACCUAGUUUAAUUUCCUGUAUGGCACAGGCCAUAGAGUUUCCCCCAAAAAACUUUCUAGAGCAGAUCUUUCCGAAAAACAUCCAAUCUUGAUUUUGUUCCAAUGCUUAAUUACUCUCAUCGUUUAAACUUUAUGCCUUAUUUCUGGUUGGAAUUUGUCUAGCUUCAACUUUCAGCCACUGGAUGGUGUUAUAUCUUCCUUUGCUAGAUUGAUGAGCCCAUUAAUAAAUAUUUGUUCCUCACGUAGCUACUUAUGGACUGUAAUCAAGUCACAUCUUAACCUUCUCUUUGUUAAGCUAAAUAGAUUGAGCUCCUUGAGUCUCUCCUGAGAGGCAUGUUGUCUAAUCCUUUAAUCAUUCUCGUGGCUCUUCUCUGAACUAUCUCCAAUUUAUCAACAUCUUGAAUUGUGUACACCAGAACUGGACACAGGAUUACAGUAACGGUCGUACCAGUCCCAAAUAUAGAGGUAAAAUAACCUUCCUGCUCCUAUUUGAUUUCCCCAUUUACGCACCACAGAUUGCAUUCGCACUUUUGGCCACAGCAUCACACUAGGAGCUCAUGUUCAGCUGAUUAUCUGCCAUGGCCCUCAAAUCUUUUUCAGAGCCAUUGCUUCCCAGAAUAGAGUCCUCCAGCAUAUGAAUGUGACUUCCAUUCUUUGUUCCCAGGUGUAGUCAUUUACAUUUAGCCAUAUUAAAACACAUAUUGUUUGCUUGUGUCCAGCUUACCAAGCGAUCCAGACCGCUCUGUCUCAGUGACCUGUCCUCUUCGCAGGGGCGGCUCUAUGGUUUUUGCCGCCCCAAGCACGGCAGUCAGGCGUUUUUCAGCGGCACACCUGUGGGCGGUCCACUGGUCAUGCAGAUUCGGUGGCGUGCCUGCGGGAGGUCCGCCGGUGCCACACCUUCAGUGUCCCCGCAGCUGAAUUACCACCGAAGCUUGCCAUUUGCCGCCCCAGGCACACGCUUGCUGCGCUGGUGCCUGGAGCCGCCCCUGCCUCUUCGUUAUUUACCACUCCCCCAAUUUUUUGUCAUCUGCAAACUUUGUCGGGGAUGAUUUUCUAUUUUAUUCCAGGUCAUUAUUAAAAAUGUUAAAUAGGCCUAGGAGCAAGAUCAGAAGAUGACUGUGAGCCACCAAUGGGAUGCGGCUGUAUUAAAAAUAAAAUAAAUAAAAGGCAAAUGUGACCCCAGAGUGUAUCUGGGGUAUUUCCAAUAGAGCUAGGGAAGUAUUAAUGCCCUUCUACAAGGCCUCAUCCAGUAAGACCUCAUCUGGAAUAACGUGUGCAAUUAUGGUCAACCAUGUUCAAGAAAGAUGAAUUCAGCCUGGGAGUCAGGACAGGUGCAAUGAAGGGUUGCUAGGGGAACGGAGAGCCGAUCUUACAAGAGGAGACUAAAAGAGCUGGGCUUUGUUAUCCCAGCAAUAAAUAAAUAAAUAAAUAAAAUAAAAA